rnacentral:rRNA from 1 species
AACGAACGCUGGCGGCAUGCUUAACACAUGCAAGUCGAACGAAGGCUUCCGCCUUUGUGGCGCACGGGUGCGUAACGCGUGGGAAUCUGCCCUUUGGUUCGGAAUCAUAGCUGGAAACGGCUCUUAAUACCGGAUGAUGACGAAAGUCCAAAGAUUUAUCGCCAGAGAAUGAGCCCGCGUUGGAUUAGGUGGUUGGUGGUGUACACGCCUACCAAGCCGACGAUCCAUAGCUGGUCUGAGAGGAUGAUCAGCCACGCUGGGAAUGCGACACGGCCCAGACUGCGACGGAGGGGAGCAGAGUGGAGUAUUGGGGGAUGAACGCUGGCGUGAUACAGCAGUGCGGGGUAAGUGGUGAAGGCCCUAGGGUUGUGAAGCCCUUUUAGACGAAGAGAUAGUGACGGUACCGGGAGAAUAAGCCCCGGCUAACUACGUG